ensembl:lncRNA
GUGGACGUUGUUUGCUAACAUUGGCUAUAGCUCCUGGUGCAUCUUCGAGCUAUAACGUUAACCGCGCAUCUGGCAAUGGCUGGCUGCUCCUCGGAGAUACUAGUUGGCUCAUAUAGCCACGUGGGUACUGAUGCAUUCGUGAUUCAAAAGGGCAUAUAUCUUAUUAAUCCUGACACCAUCCAAUGGUAGUUUCUAGAGCAAAUGUAUGAGAAGCGGUCGGGUUUUUCAAAGCACCCGUCUGAGUGGCUGCUGCUGGUGCGUAUGUUUGUUUUGAUGAUGGAGGGGGGCGGAGGAGGUGGGCGGAGCAGUUGGGGUGGAGCAGGUGGGUGGAGCAGGUGGAGUGGAGCAGGCAGCCGUGUGCCAGCCAGAGCAGCCUGAAGGACUUCCACUGGGACGGCUCCCAGGCGCUCAUCCUGGGCCGCUGGGCCUGUCCUGGCUGGUGAAGUUCCCCUCGGAGCAGGAGCAGCUCUGCACACGCCAGGCCACCGCCCAGCAGGUCCACACGCUGGAGGAACUCUGGAAGGCCAAUGUGCAGCGCCUCGGAGACACGGAGGCGGAGCGGCCAGAGCACGGGAUCGCUGCGGCUCCGGGACGGGAAUCAACGCAUCACGAGCUGCAGCUCUGUCCCGCCAUGAGACUCUGGGGAUGAGAUGGCCAUGGAGGAUCAGCGGGCGCUCCGUUGGAGGUGCCUCACGACCCUAAAACCCUGACUCCCAGCCGGACUCUCUGUGGUGGGCCGCCUCCUUGACAGGAACUGACGCACAGCUCCCUGGAGACCCCUACGGUGGACGAGACCCCUGUGGUGGACGAGACCUCGGUGUCGGGCUGCGUCUACCACCAGCUGCUGGGCCACGAGGGGGGGGAGGACGUGGUCAUCAGGGGUCCGCUCCCCACGCGCUUCACCGCCCCGGGCAUGCCCGGCCUCCACCAAUCCCGGGUGGGAGGGCACCAUCCAUCCCUCCUUACAACCAGCAGGCAGUGCUGGGACGUGCUGAGACGGCUCCCCUGCACUUAUAUUCGUGGAUGAUAAUGAGUAAAACGGGCAUGAGCUUGGUUAGUUUAUAAUUACAGAGCAAAACACACCUUGCAUUCUUCUGCCAAACUUACGGAAACAAAACACACCUCACACAAUACCAACCUCAGUUUACUAUUCCGUUCGUGAUUUCGGUGUGCGUGUGUGUGCGUGCCUGGGGUGUAAAAAACGGUAAUACCGUGGACUCCUACCUUUUGUAUUUCACCUGGUUCUUUUCCACCAGGGUUUAAAACCAUAUUUUCCACCUGCUGUCAUUAAG